UACGACUACAUAUCAGGCAUAUCAAUAAGCGGAGGAAAAGAAACUAACAAGGAUUCCCCUAGUAACGGCGAGUGAAGCGGGAAGAGCUCAAAUCUGAAAUCUUAAAGGGUUUCCCUUUACGAAUUGUAGUUUAAAGAAGUGUUUUCUGUUGGAGUUUCGGUAAAAGUUCUUUGGAAUAGGACAUCAUAGAGGGUGAGAAUCCCGUAUUUGACCGUUACUUUCCAGCUGUGUGAUACACUUUCAAAGAGUCGGAUUGUUUGGGAAUGUAGUCCAAAAUGGGUGGUAAAUUUCAUCUAAAGCUAAAUAUUGGCGAGAGACCGAUAGCGAACAAGUACCGUGAGGGAAAGAUGAAAAGAACUUUGAAAAGAGAGUUAAACAGUACGUGAAAUUGUCAAAAGGGAAGCGUUUGACACCAGUGUUGUUUUUCCGAAAAUCAAUUAAGAAGGGCUUGAUUUUGUGUUGUAUUGACCUUAUCAGCUUUCUUCACUCUUUUUCGAGUCUUUCUUAAUGCACUUUUCGGUUAACAAGUCAACAUCAAUUUCUUUUGUUGUAAAAGGGUAUUUGGAAGGUGGCUUUCUUUUCGGAGAAAGUGUUUAUAGCCUUAUACCUCUACAAUCGGAGAGAUUGAGGUCUGCAGCGUAGAUCCUUCGGGGCUAGAUACACUUGUGCUAAGUUAUAGCUUUUCAUAGACAACUUGUUGACUAUGUUUAGUCAUGUAGCUUACCCGCUUGAUGCUAUUUUACCUACGCUUAGGAUGUUGAUCUACAGAGCGAGAGU
rnacentral:rRNA from 1 species